CUAUAGCUGGAUUCUGCCAAGGUUAUGGCCUCUGCCUUGUAGAUGGUGAGCGAGGUUUUUUCUUGUUACUUCUCAGAGUCACCUUGGCCCCCUCUGAUGCUAAGGACCUCUUUCAGCCUCCUCUCCACUUAAUGUUUAUGUCUCUCCCAACUGUGGGAGCUAGUUUUGCAAGCCCUGUAAGGCUAUUGUCUCUGUGUCUGCUAAUACAUUGGGAGGGGGAAAUGGAUGUCAAGUGAGAAAGAUGAUUAAGGGCAGCAUGGAAUCCAUAAGCUUGAGAAGCAACUCCACAAGGACAGACAGAAACCUGUCUCUGACCUUGUCUCUGACCUUGGUGAUAAGGGUAUCUUGCAAAGGCUGGGGCUCAUCAGCACAGAGCUAAACACACUCACGGGGACCGGAAGUAGGAGGAACUGAAGGAGGAUCCAUGGGAAGAUUGAGCAGUUGUAGACCCUGCAAAUCUCUCAAGAAUCUUCCCUGUGGCCCACUGUACCUGGAAACAUACAAGAAAGUAAAUUCUAGGAAAUGUUCCACCUUGCCAGGAUGAUAAAUUAAAAAGUCAUCACGCACUGGAUAAUCUAUAUUAGGCAAGGUGGUCUCAUUGGUGAGAUGACAUAUGCACAGCAACUGAAGCGAGAGAACGUGUCAAGAGAAUAAAUGAAAGAUAACCAAGAUAUGCAGAGGCUGUAAGGCCAUAACAUCAGGAUGGAAGAUUCUGGAGAAGAGACAAACACAAGACAAAGAAAGGGCAAGAUCCAGGUAAGUGUCAGGAAUAGUUGGAACUAAGGCCUUAACAUGACUGUGGCUCUAUUCCUGAUAUUCUGUUUCUCUCUGUGUCAACUUCAUGCUUUUUAAGACUGGUUUUCUCCACCUCGUGGAAACAUGGUCACUGAUAGCAUUUAAAUUAUACAUCUUAUUAGUUCAGCCACCAGAGAGAAAUGGUCUACGUGUUUUCUGUGACAGUUCAUCAAAACAUUGGGAGGAAAUUAGUCAUUGGCCUAACUUGGGUUAGUUGCCCAUCCCUGGACCGAUUAUGGAGUCCAAAAGGAUGUGGUAUGGUAUUAUCUGUUCCUGCAUAACAAAUUACUCCAAACGUUAGCAACUUUAAACAACAGCGAGCAUUUUUUAUCUCACAGUUUCUGUGCAACCAGAACUUAGGAGCAGCUUAGCUAGGUGGUUCUAUCUUAGGCUGGAGCCGGGGAAGUCUCUGAUGAAGCUGCAGUCAAGAUAUCAGCUACAGCUGCAGGCAUCUGAAGACUUGACCAGGCUGAAGGAUCACUUCCAAGGGGACUCAUUUACAUGCCUGCUAAGUUACUGCCAGCUGUUGGCAGGAGGCCUCAGUUCCACAUCACGUGGACAUCUUCACAGAGCUGCCUCAUUGUUCUCACGGCAACGCAUCUGGCUUACCCCAGAAGCCCUUCAAGUGUUUGAGGCUGCUUGAUUAACUCGUGGCUGUGCUGAGCAACAUCAGAGCUGGAGGCAAAAGAGCUCAUAAUCAAUGCUGAAUCAUUCCUGGAGCACUGGGGGUCCCCAGGAUUCAUCUUUGGCUUUUGUUUCCAUGAAAAGAAUAGAAGAGCUUUUUGGCGGCAUUUUGGAAGGCUCAGAUUUCUUUAAAACAUCUGUCUAGGGAAAUUUGAACUAAUUUCUCUUUUAUUUCCCUUUCGUAAAAAUUCCCGUUAGUAAGCAAAUGCAUUCAAAACCGUUCCCUUGAUCUUAUAACUGUAUUUUAUAAAAAUACCCUCAAGUUUUUCCUUUUGUCCUAUAGGCUGAAAGUGCUACAGUGGAGUGUCUGAAUGGCACACAGGAGCGAAGGCAGCUGGGACAUUAGGGCUGGUCAAGUUUGGCAAGGGGCCACUGGGCUGCCCUUCGAGUGGUGCAGCAGACACACGGGGUGGGGGUUUGGCUUCAUCCUUUUUGUUUCUGACCCUGUUUUCAAGGACAUAUUAUAAAAAGCGAAGACUUCUUGAAUUUAUUAAAAACUAUAAUGGAAAUUAAA